rnacentral:rRNA from 1 species
GAUGAACGCUGGCGGCGUGCCUAAUACAUGCAAGUCGAGCGAACGGACGAGAAGCUUGCUUCUCUGAUGUUAGCGGCGGACGGGUGAGUAACACGUGGAUAACCUACCUAUAAGACUGGGAUAACUUCGGGAAACCGGAGCUAAUACCGGAUAAUAUUUUGAACCGCAUGGUUCAAAAGUGAAAGACGGUCUUGCUGUCACUUAUAGAUGGAUCCGCGCUGCAUUAUCCGUAGUUGGUAAGGUAACGGCUUACCAAGGCAACGAUGCAUAGCCGACCUGAGAGGGUGAUCGGCCACACUGGGACUGAGACACGGUCCAGACUCCUACGGGAGGCAGCAGUAGGGAAUCUUCCGCAAUGGGCGAAAGCCUGACGGAGCAACGCCGCGUGAGUGAUGAAGGUCUUCGGAUCGUAAAACUCUGUUAUUAGGGAAGAACAUAUGUGUAAGUAACUGUGCACAUCUUGACGGUACCUAAUCAGAAAGCCACGGCUAACUACGUGCCAGCAGCCGCGGUAAUACGUAGGUGGCAAGCGUUAUCCGGAAUUAUUGGGCGUAAAGCGCGCGUAGGCGGUUUUUUAAGUCUGAUGUGAAAGCCCACGGCUCAACCGUGGAGGGUCAUUGGAAACUGGAAAACUUGAGUGCAGAAGAGGAAAGUGGAAUUCCAUGUGUAGCGGUGAAAUGCGCAGAGAUAUGGAGGAACACCAGUGGCGAAGGCGACUUUCUGGUCUGUAACUGACGCUGAUGUGCGAAAGCGUGGGGAUCAAACAGGAUUAGAUACCCUGGUAGUCCACGCCGUAAACGAUGAGUGCUAAGUGUUAGGGGGUUUCCGCCCCUUAGUGCUGCAGCUAACGCAUUAAGCACUCCGCCUGGGGAGUACGACCGCAAGGUUGAAACUCAAAGGAAUUGACGGGGACCCGCACAAGCGGUGGAGCAUGUGGUUUAAUUCGAAGCAACGCGAAGAACCUUACCAAAUCUUGACAUCCUUUGACAACUCUAGAGAUAGAGCCUUCCCCUUCGGGGGACAAAGUGACAGGUGGUGCAUGGUUGUCGUCAGCUCGUGUCGUGAGAUGUUGGGUUAAGUCCCGCAACGAGCGCAACCCUUAAGCUUAGUUGCCAUCAUUAAGUUGGGCACUCUAAGUUGACUGCCGGUGACAAACCGGAGGAAGGUGGGGAUGACGUCAAAUCAUCAUGCCCCUUAUGAUUUGGGCUACACACGUGCUACAAUGGACAAUACAAAGGGCAGCGAAACCGCGAGGUCAAGCAAAUCCCAUAAAGUUGUUCUCAGUUCGGAUUGUAGUCUGCAACUCGACUACAUGAAGCUGGAAUCGCUAGUAAUCGUAGAUCAGCAUGCUACGGUGAAUACGUUCCCGGGUCU